rnacentral:rRNA from 1 species
UACAGAGGUCUCAAGCGUUGUUCGGAUUCAUUGGGCGUAAAGGGUGCGUAGGCGGCGCGGUAAGUCGGGUGUGAAAUCUUGGAGCUUAACUCCGAAACUGCAUUCGAUACUGCCGUGCUUGAGGACUGGAGAGGAGACUGGAAUUUACGGUGUAGCGGUGAAAUGCGUAGAUAAUCGUAAGGAAGACCAGUGGCGAAGGCGGGUCUCUGGACAGUUCCUGACGCUGAGGCACGAAGGUCAGGGGAGCAAACGGG